CUUGUGGACACCAAGAAUGCAAGCAGUACCCUCAGCUCAGCUGUGCACUCCCAGUGUGUCACUAGGCUGGUAUUCUCUCCACACAGUGCUCCCUUUCUGGCCUCUCUCAGUGAAGACUGCUCAAUUGCUGUGCUGGAUUCAAGCCUUUCUGAGGUGUUUAGAAGUCGAGCCCACAGAGACUUCGUGAGAGAUGCUACGUGGUCUCCACUUAACCACUCCCUCCUUACCACAGUUGGCUGGGACCAUCAAGUCAUCCACCAUGUUGUGCCCAUUGAGCCUCUCCCAGCCCCUGGACCUGAGAAUGCCUCAGAGUAGAAUGGAUUUCAGAAAAAAAAAAAAAAAA